CGAUAAGCUCUCUGGGCUACUUUAAAAGCUAAAGGUACCUAUUAUCGCCAUCAGUUAUCACUUUUUGUUGUUAGCUAGGUUUCAUCUACAGCUGUUACUAAAUGAAAAUGUUGCAGGAAGCUAAUGAAGAAUCAAAAGCCAUUACAAAAGCAUCUUCUAUGAAAGCUAUCAAGAAGAGGAUGGAGAAGGAUAUUGAUGAAGUUGGAAAGAUUGCACAUGGUGUCAAAACAAAAAUAGGAGCUAUAAACAGAGAUGUAAU